GCUAGUCUGGAACUCCUGGGCUUGAGUGAUCUUCUUGCUUUGGCCUCCCGUGCUGGGAUUACUGUGCCCAGCUGAUGGAUGCCAUACUCGCAGUGAUAAUAUUAAUUUUAUUUUCAUUUUUCCUGCUAAUAAGUUACAUUCAUAUGGUCAAGGAAUUAGUAGUGUUUCAGUCAAUAAAAUCUACUUACUUUCGCAACAACAAAAGUGUUGAUUCCAUGAUGAUAUGAGAGGUUGUUUAAAAUCUAUUUUUAGAAAUAACAGAUUAUGUUACUACCAGGAACUUUGAAUUUAUUUCCACAUUUGCCACCUAAAAUUUUAAGUCAUGAGUAUAUUGUAUAAUAAUAGUAUUACAGUAGGGUUUUUUGAUGUGUCAAUAUUUUGCAACUCCUUUUGUCUAGUGGUGAAAUAUAUUUCGCCACACAAUCCAUCUAGGAGUGUAAUUUCCCUUCCUUGGGCCAAUUAUGUGUUAACAAAUGUGGUGCCAGCAGAGACUUGAAAAGUGUUUUCACAUUGGAUUUUGCUCUGUUUAUUGCUGUGAACCUUGAGACAUCUGUACCAAGUAGCCUGGGCUAGCCUCCUGGAGGAAGAGAGCCCCAACCAUUUAAUGUUGCUGCAAAGGCAAACAGGUGCACACUUAGAUCUUCUCUCAGGAAUGCAUAUGAUGUCACAGUGAUUACUUUGUUCCAAAAAACAUUGCUUUGGUUGAAAACCAGACUCAAUGAAAAUGAACAAUCUAUAAUUUAAUUUCUAAAUUUUAAAUUUUAGUUAAUGUAUCUCUCUGUGUGUGUGUGUGUGUGUGUGUGUGUGUGUGUGUGUGUGUAUGUGUGCAUCCAUUACAUAGCAUUACUUCGGAUCACUGAUAUUUUUUCAUUUUGCAAAUAUUGUAUCAUUAAUCUGUCAUUAUGCUGAUACUUUCCCUACUUUUAAUUUAUUUAUACUCAUUUCUCCCUGUAUCUAUUGAAUAAUCUAAAUAAAGCUAUUAGCCAUCAUUUAGUUAACAAGGGUAUCCUCUGACUCUUAUUUGUGAAUGCAUUUCCUUGCUCCUGUCUCAUAGCUAGAACUUUUCAAUAAGGUCUUUGUUUGAUGUGGGUUGAAAUGGAGCAAGCUUAUCUCACAGAAAUAUAAUGUGCUAACCCAAUAGUCUUGACCGAAGAUAAAUCACUCAUUUAAUGGGCUCUGCUUGAAAUGCAGAGGGUUGACCACAAAAGACCACUUUUUGUCUCUUUGUCUUAGGUCCAAACCGAAACUGAAUUUGUUGGUCAUAUAUUCUUAUUCUAAGAUCAUUUGUUCACCUCUGCACACUGCAAUACAGUCUAAUGUAAUUGCUAGUCCUUUAAAAGAAAAGAGAAGAAAAGAAAAGAGAAGAAAAGAAAAGAGAAGAGAAGAGAAGAGAAGAGAAGAGAAGAGAAAAGAAAAGAAAAGAAAAAAAAGAAAAGAAAAGAAAAGAAAAGAAAAGAAAAGAAAAGAAAAGAAAAGAGAAAAGAAAAGAGAAAAAGACCAGUGGCAUCACUCCUGAGGCCAGGCCACUCCUGAGGUUCUCUGACAGAAUAAGUGAGGUUAUCAUCAAGUCUUCUGCCUAGUGUUAGUAUCAUUAGCUUUUCAUUUUAUGACAAGGCAACUAUUUUUAAGAUAAAAUAAUGAAUAGUGGGGAAUGUGUUAAGGAAUCUGAUUUCUGAAAUAUUUUUUUAAGUUCUUAAAUGAAGAGAUAAAAUAUUUUUAAAGCAACAUAUUUUAUUUUGAAAAAUAGAUUGAUAAAGCAGGAAGGAAAUUUGAUUAUUCUUAUUUAUUCAGGAAGUUUGCUCAGGAAUGCAGUGAUAAGAAUCUGUUAAAAAAUAAGGGGAGAUAUACAUUUACAUUAAUUUUAGUUGCAUCAGAUUUUUUUUUGAGGGAUGGUAAAGGUCCCAGCUAUAUUGAAAAACUACCUAACUAGUUUCAAUUUCUCACAGAUAAUCAAAACUUUAUAUAGUACAAAGAGAAUUUUCUAUUUUUAUGUGUCUCAUACAGGAAAUAAAAAUUCUCUUCAGAAAAAUAAUGCAUAUAUGCAUUUAAUAAAAUAAAUAAAUGCAUACACCACCUCCUCGAUAUUUUGGAGUUGUUGAGGCACUCUCUGAAUAUGAACCCCCAUACCUCGGUCACUCAAAUUUCUAAUUCUACCCAACCCCCCUACCCCCAAUCAUAUGCCUUUGUUUUCUAAUGAUAUGCCUUUCUACAAACAAUUUUCUCCAACUGGGAUGACUAUAUCGCUUUCGUUACAUAACAGAAUUUUAUUUAUCUACAUUUUAAAUACCACCUUGUUUUCACAGUGUUCUUAGCUUAUUGCUAGUUGCAAUUAAACUCUUCACCUCAUAUUCUUAAGAUAGGUGCUUCUUAGCACUUAAAAAACUGCCUCCCAUUUCCAUCCUGAGCCUCUGCAGGCCAGUAACUGUAUUUCAUUCCUUCCUCUAUCAACUACCAUUCCUUGUGUAUAUUUGGAGUUACAUAAAUGCUGUUUGAAUUAGGAGUGAUAUAUUUUGAUAGCCUUUAAUAUGAUGAAGACUGUUAUAAAAAAUAUUUAAAUCAUAUUUUUCUAGAGUUAGAAAUGAUCUAGAAAAAUAUGAAUUUGAGUUUAAAUAAAUGUUAUAGCAGCAUAAUGAAUCCAUUGAUCCUGAAUGAUAACUGAAACUUAAAUGAAUCACUUAUUUAACGAUUGUGUGGUGACAGUAUCUAAUAUUUAUCAACAUUGUUCAAUAUUUUAGCAACUUUAGGAAACUUGUAAGCAAAAUAAAAUGCCUAGAUUGUUUUUAGCAGUAAUAUUUAGUAUCAAUCUUGGAAUUGUUGCUUUUGGGAGAAAUUCUGUACUGAAUGAUUAAUUCUGUACUCCAAAUUGAUUCUGUUGAGUAUAUAUUUUAUUUGGAUUGCUUUCAGAUAUUGCACUGUGAUUUAGUGUUCUAUUAAUAUCAUAUAAAACUUGUAAAAUAUAGUUCAUAAGGUGAAGGUAUCCCUUUUCCUUAACCACAAGUUUCUACUCUAUCUAAUAACCAAAUCACAAUCCUUUGAUAAAUUAAAAAGUUAGCCAGAUGCUUUUAGUUCCUCGCAAAGCCACUGAUUCAAAUCAAACACAACAUACUACUUUAUUGGGUUCUCCCAAACAAUCAAAGUGUCUGCAAUGGGUUUGGAAGUAAUCUUAGUUGUGAGGUGUAGGUUUUGGGCUUCUUACAUGAAAGAAAAUAUACACAAAGGAGGAAAGGCCAAAUUAUAGUUUGACUAUGUAAAUGGUAACAUCAGCUCACACCAUCUGUAUAACCUACAUGUAGUGAGCUGUAGAUUUAAAAAAUGAUGAUAGUAUUCCUAUUGGCCAUCAUUUUAAACUCUUGGAACAGUUAGCAAGAAGUUAUAUUUCUCUGUUCCAUAAAUGAAGAAACAAAAAACCUUCUUACAAAUAUUAUGUUUGUUUCACAGUGGAAGUAGCAUUCUUAGGCUUUUCCUAUCGAAACAGCUAAUUUCUUGCUAAACAGAGAAUAUGAUUAAAUAGAGCAAGAAAUGACAAACUAUUUCAAAGAGUUUUAUUCUUUUUUUUUUUUUUUUUUUUUUUUGAGAGGGAGUCUCUCUCUGUCUCCCAGGCUGGAGUGCAGUGUUGCAAUCUCGGCUCAUUGUAACUUCUUCCCCCUGGGUUCAACUGACUCUCCUGCCUCAGCCUCCCGAAUAGCUGUCACUAUCGGUGCGUCCCCCGACGCCCGGCCAAUUUUUUGUAUUUUUAGUAGAGACGGGGUUUCACUGUGUUAGCCAGGAUGGUCUCAAUCUCCUGACCUCAUGAUACACCUGCCUCGGCCUCCCAAAGUGCUGGGAUUACAGGCGUGAGUCACAGCGCCCAGCCUAAGAGUUUUAUUCUUAAAAAUUGAGUAGACAAUCAAGUGGUAAGAAAUUAUAAUCGAGUAAGUUAAAAUGAACAUGAUGUUGUAGGUGGGUUUAUGCAUUUAUUUAUUUUAUUAAAUGUAUAUAUGCAUUUUUUCUGAAGAGGAUAUUCAUUUCCUUAAUCUCAUUAUGCAAAUAGUUCAUGACACCAAAAUGAACCAAUGCAAAAAAAAAUAAUAAUUAAAAAAUAAAUAAACCACAUGCACACACAAUUUCAAGAGCAUUCUUAUGCCCACGUAUGGACCUUAUUUAGCAGAGGACAAAAUGUAAAUGAAGUCUAAAAGACUAAUAAACAUGGUAGAGGGGUUCAAGUAAAAAGAGGAAUCUAAACCAGAUGAGAGGUAAUCACGUGUUUGGGUGGAGAGUAAAUAGAGGAUUUGUAUUUACUAUUUGAAAUCUAGUUGUCUAUUUAUUGUUUAUCCCUCCAUACUGUUUAGGUAGUGGUGACCAAAGUCAUAGUUUGACAAGACACUGGACUCCAUAGUACCUUCAGCAUUGGAAAUGUUUAUGAAAUAUAAUCUAAGGUUUUAGCCAAGUUUGCCAAGCAUCUGAAUCCUGUCAACAAAGUGCUAAAAUCCAUAACUCUGAAAACCCUCUUUUAACCAAUAACUAAUGCUCUUCAACUCAAGUGGAACUGAAAAACUUAAGAAAAUGUGAAAGCAAUCUCCUAUCAGUAAGCCAGGCUGUUUCUAUUUCAAUUUGUGUGUGUUAGCGGGGCGGGGAGUGGGGUACAAAAGUAAUAGAAAUACAGAUAUGAACUGUCUAUCCUAUGCAGUGUAUUUCUGGGCUACUGAGUGACGAGGGACAAUGACAAAUCUCCAAAAUAGGUGUCAGAGCAUACCAAGCUUUCUUUCAAUGUAAGUAUUUUGUGCUUCAAAUAUAGAAUUCAUAUAAUAAUGAUAAUACAGAUACUAUUUUUUAAUGUCAUUAAUGAAAUAAAAUUUAAAUUUUAAAAAU